AUUGAACGCUGGCGGCAGGCCUAACACAUGCAAGUCGGACGGUAGCACAGAGAGCUUGCUCUCGGGUGACGAGUGGCGGGCGGGUGAGUAAUGUCUGGGGAUCUGCCCGAUAGAGGGGGAUAACCACUGGAAACGGUGGCUAAUACCGCAUAACGUCGCAAGACCAAAGAGGGGGACCUUCGGGCCUCUCACUAUCGGAUGAACCCAGAUGGGAUUAGCUAGUAGGCGGGGUAACGGCCCACCUAGGCGACGAUCCCUAGCUGGUCUGAGAGGAUGACCAGCCACACUGGAACUGAGACACGGUCCAGACUCCUACGGGAGGCAGCAGUGGGGAAUAUUGCACAAUGGGCGCAAGCCUGAUGCAGCCAUGCCGCGUGUAUGAAGAAGGCCUUCGGGUUGUAAAGUACUUUCAGCGGGGAGGAAGGCGAUGUGGUUAAUAACCGCAUUGAUUGACGUUACCCGCAGAAGAAGCACCGGCUAACUCCGUGCCAGCAGCCGCGGUAACAC
rnacentral:rRNA from 1 species